ACAAAUUCGCGUCUAGGGGAAU
rnacentral:miRNA from 11 species